rnacentral:lncRNA from 1 species
CCAAUGUAAAGACAUGAUCAAUCAACCACCCAUUCAUUUGUGGGCCUGUAUGCUCAACAGACAAUGUGAAGACAUGAUCAAUCAACCACCCAUUCAUUUGUGGGCCUGUAUGGCCAACAGACAACAUGUUUGGCAUCGGUGUGCUUCUGGGAGAAGGAGCCCCAUGACAGAUGCUUCCCCCAGAGAAUUGAAGAGGCCACCAGAGAGGGCACAGAGGACUGCAGAUGAGUAAGGAGACAAGCCGAUCCUGAUGGUACUCUGCCUCCGGGAUGGGGAACAGCGGCAGCCAAGAUGAGAGUGCUUUGUUUACAUCGCAGGUACACUGCAGCAUCCCUGAGCUUGGAGACAACAGACGGCUCUCAGCACUCCACUUGGGGGCCACUGACCGAGCAGAACUGCAGGAGACCAGGAAGGAGCCAGGAGCAGAAUCUGAGCUCUCACUGAGCAAGUGAGCUUAUGUACAAAUAUAGAAUUCAUCAUAAUGAGGGUCAGCUAAACACACAUAUGCACACAUGCACAUACAUGUCUACAGAUGUAGACACGUUAUAUAUACAUACAUGUUCAUAUACACACAAAUACACACAUACAUGUGUGUGUG